UACGUAGGUGGCGAGCGUUGUCCGGAUUUACUGGGCGUAAAGAGCGCGCAGGCGGUCGUCCAAGUCGGAUGUGAAAGCCCCCGGCUCAACUGGGGAGGGUCAUUCGAUACUGAUCGACUCGAAGGCGGGAGAGGGAAGCGGAAUUCCCGGUGUAGUGGUGAAAUGCGUAGAUAUCGGGAGGAACACCAGUGGCGAAGGCGGCUUCCUGGCCUGUUCUUGACGCUGAGGCGCGAAAGCUAGGGGAGCAAACGGG
rnacentral:rRNA from 1 species